GAUUAGAGAAAAUAGAGCAUAUGGUGGAUACCUCGACACCAAAAGCCGAUGAAGGACGUAGCAGCCUGCGAUAAGCCUCGGGAAGGUGGCAAGCAACCUUUGAUCCGGGGAUUUCCGAAUGGGGAAACCUGAUUAUGCAAAACAUAAUCGUCCUUAUUUUAAAUAAGGAAGGGAACCUGGGGAAGUGAAACAUCUCAGUACCCAGAGGAGAGGAAAAGGAAUUGUUUCGCAAUUCUUUAUAAUUACAAAGGGCGAAUCAAAUGGAAAAAUAUUAAUUUUUACAUUUGUAAGCCCUGCCGUAAUUUCAAGAUUUUUUUAUAAAUUUUAAACUUUUGUUUAUUAUUUAUAUUCUAAUUGCGAAGCGAAUAUUCCCUGAGUAGUGGCGAGCGAAAAGGGAACAGUCUAAACCUUAGAGAAUCUUAGCUAUUUUCGAGGUCUGUCUUCGGACAGAUUCUCCUAAAUAGUAAAAGGUGGCAAGGCCAAAAUAUUUUCUAAGGGGUUGUGGGGUAGUUAACAUUUUAUUACUUGCUUAAUAGAAUUAGAUUUUAAAUUCUUAAUUGAAUGGUCUGGAAUGGCCAACUAAAAAAGGUAAAAGUCCUGUAAAUGAAAAGCUUUUAAAUUUUGAUAGUUAAUUAUUUCCGAGUAGUGCUGGACACGUGAAAUCCAGUAUGAAUCAAGGCGGACUAUCGCCUAAGACUAAAUACUUUUGGUGAUCUAUAGUGAACUAGUACCGUGAGGGAAAGGUGAAAAGUAGCCCGGUGAGGGCGGUGAAAUAGUACUUGAAACCAUAUGCUAAUUAAGAGUCAGAGCCCUUUUGGGGUGAUGGCGUUCCUAUUGAAGAAUGAACCAACGAGUUUUACUUACUAGUUUGGUUAAGUCUAAAUAUAGACGAAGCCGUAGUGAAAGCAAGCGUUAAAAGCGCGAUAUUAGAUUAGUGGGUAAAGACCCGAAACCGAGUGAGCUAUCCAUGGCCAGGGUGAGUCCUAGAGAAGUCUAGGAGGAGGCCCGAACCCGUUGGCCGUGCAACACCAUGGGAUGAGCUGUGGAUAGGGGUAAAAAGCCAAUCGAACUCGGUAAUAGCUGGUUCUCCCCGAAAUAGCUGUAGGGCUAGCCUGUCUUGUAAACUUUGGAGGUAGAGCUACUGAUUGGGUGUGGGUGGAGUAAUCCUACUGCAUCCAACCAAACUCCGAAUGCCAAAGCUUAAUAAGAUGGAGUCAGACUAUGGGGGCUAAGCUCCAUUGGUCUAAAGGGAAACAGCCCAGAUCUCAAUCUAAGGUCCCUAAAUCUGAGUUAAGUGUGAAAGGUGGUGAAAUGACUUCGACAAUCAGGAGGUUGGCUUAGAAGCAGCCAUCCUUUAAAGAAAGCGUAACAGCUCACUGAUUAAGUUGUCUUGCGCCGAAAAUGUACCGGGGCUAAAUUCAGUACCGAAGAUGAGGGUGUCUUCUUUUAUUAGAAGGCGCGGUAGGGGAGCAUUCUCUAGGCAGUGAAGUCGAAUCGUAAGGUUCGGUGGAGCGUAGAGAAGAGAGAAUGUUGGUAUGAGUAAUAAAAAGUUCGGUGAGAAACCGAACCACCGCAAGUCCAAGGUUUCCUGGGCACUGAUUGUCAACCCAGGGUUAGGCGGUCCUAAGUCUCUGGCCGAAAGGUCGAGUCGAUGGACAGACGGUCAAUAUUCCGUCCCUAAUAUUAGUUUCCAAUGGAAUGACGCUUCUUCAAGCUUCAAGUGUGUUCUGGCUAUACGCGUUUAAAUAACGGGUGGGCUUUCUAGGCAAAUCCGGAGAGUGUAAAGCCUGUUAUAAAUAAAAUCCUCGCAAGGGGAAAUUUGAGGGGAGAGGGGGCCAAGAAAAGUUUCUAGGGCUAAGCUAAUAUUAACCGUACCGCAAACCAACACAGGUGGACGAGGAGAGUAUCCUCAGGUGUACGAGAGAAUCUUCGUUAAGGAACUCGGCAAAAAAGCGUCCGUAACUUCGGGAUAAGGACUGGUUCGGCUCACGCCGAACCCGCAGCAAAAGUAGCUGGGCGACUGUUUAUCAAAAACAUAGGUCCCUGCUCAAACCGUAAGGUGAUGCAUAGGGGCUGAUGCCUGGCCAGUGUCAGAACGUUAAGGGGAGGGGUGAUCCCUUUUAGGGUGAGCUCUGAACUUAAGCGCUGAUGAACGCCGGCCGUAACUAUAACGGUCCUAAGGUAGCGAAAUCCCUUGUCGGGUAAGUUCCGACCUGCAUGAAUGGCAUAACGACCUGGCAACUGUCUCAACGAAGACCUCGAUGAAAUUGCAAUAGUCGUGAAGAUGCGACUUAUCCACGGUUAGACGAAAAGACCCCGUGAAGCUUUACUAUAGCUUAAUAUUGGAUUGGGGAUGUGCAUGUUCAGAAUAGGUGGGAGAUCUUCGGAUCAACAGUGAGAUACCACCCUUGUAUGUUGCUAAUCCUAAUCCCAAUUUAUUUGGGAGACAGUAUUUGGUAGGUAGUUUAUCUGGGGCGGAUGCCUCAACCAGUUACAAUUUCUCCGUUUUAUUGUAACUAAGGGGCCUUUCAAUCGAAAGGUUGAAAGCAAACUGGCUAUAUGCUGGAACAUCUGUUUAAUUCUAAUAAACCCAAUUAAGAAAGGGUAAAAUUUAUUAGAAAGAACUUUAAAUAGUCGACAGAUAAUCAGCAGGGAAGUCUAUAUAAUGACCCCUCAACGACUAUACGCCAGGUUCCUUGAUAUUUUUAAGGAAUAUGAUAUAGUCUGAUCUUUCAGGCGACUGAAAGACCUGAAUCACCUUUAAUGGAAAAACUUAAAACCGUCUUUAAGUAGGUUCAGGACCUAAUUUAUAUUAUAUGUAUUUAAGUUCAAUUGAAAAUUACAAAAAGAAUUUAAAGUUAACUAAACGGCAAAGGCAGAUUAUAAUUGGUAAAUUAUUGGGUGAUGGACACCUUGAAACAGAAAACAACGGGAGAACGUAUCGAUUAAAAAUAGAACAUUCUUUUGUUCAAAAAGAUUAUGUUGAUUGGUGUUAUUAUGAAUUAAAAGACUGGGUUAGAACAAAACCGCAAACAAAAAAGCAAAAAGUGAAUGGAAAGACAUAUCAGAAAUAUUGGUUCAACACUUUGAGCCAUGGCGCUUUUCGGUUUUACGCUCAUCAGUUUUAUCAGGAUAAAAAGAAAAUUGUUCCUAAAUUAAUUCAUAGAUGGCUAACGCCAUUAAGUUUAGCGGUUUGGUUUAUGGAUGAUGGGUCAAUAAAGUCCAGGAAUCACAGAGCAAGGAUAAUCAACACUCAAGGGUUUAGAAAGAAAGAGGUUCAGAAAUUAAGCAAAGUUUUAGAGGAAACAUUUGCCUUAAAAUGCAAAUUAAGAAAACAAAAAGAAGGCUAUCAGAUCAUGAUUUUAGCUGAAUCAGCCGAUAGGUUUGCUCGCAUUAUUAAAGACUUCAUUCAUCCAUCAAUGAAUUAUAAAAUUAAAGGAUUAGGUUAACACAAAUGCCUAAAAGGUAACGGAGGCGUUUAAAGGUCAGCUUAGCGCGGAUGGAAAUCGUGCUGGACGUGUAAAGGCACAAGCUGGCUUGACGGCAAGACUUACAAGUCGCGCCGAGAGGAAACUCGAACUUAGUGAACCGACACUUGCUCAUAGUAGCGGUGAAGAUUAUCGGAUAAAAGCUACUCCGGGGAUAACAGGCUGGUUUCGCCCGAGAGUUCAUAUCGACGGCGAAGUUCGGCACCUCGAUGUCGGCUCAUCGCAUCCUGGGGGUGUAGAAGCUCCCAAGGGUUUGGCUGUUCGCCAAUUAAAGCGGUACGCGAGCUGGGUUCAGAACGUCGUAAGACAGUUCGGUCUCCUAUCUACCGUGGACGUUCGAAACUUGAGAGGGCCCUUCAAUAGUACGAGAGGACCUUGAAGGACGAACCUCUAGUGUACCAGUUGUCCUGCCAAGGGCAUUGCUGGGUAGCUACGUUCGGUUUGGAUAAACGCUGAAAGCAUAUAAGCGUGAAGCCGUCCUCAAGAUUAAGUUUCGUAUCUCACCGCUUUGAUUAGAAACAAUUGUUUCCGAGCAAAGUGGUGAGAGAAAGGCUCCUGGGAGAAUACCAGGUAUAUAGGCUCUAAGUGUAUGACCGGCAACGGUUUUAGCUGAGGAGUCCUAAUCAGCCAAAUCUCUAAUUCA
rnacentral:rRNA from 1 species